UACAGAGGGUGCAAGCGUUAAUCGGAGUUACUGGGCGUAAAGGGCGCGUAGGCGGAUAUUUAAGUCGGUUGUGAAAUCCCCGGGCUUAACCUGGGAAUUGCAUUCGAUACUGGAUAUCUUAGAGUAUGGUAGAGGAAAGCGGAAUUCCCGGUGUAGUGGUAAAAUACGUAGAUAUCGGGAAGAACAUCAGGGCGAAGGCGGCUUUCUGGACCAAUACUGACGCUGAUGCGCGAAAGCGUGGGGAGCAAAC
rnacentral:rRNA from 1 species